CACCAUCUCUCCCCCUCUCAUCCAUUCUUUGCCUCUCAUUCAAACAUCCCUCUUCAAUGGAUGACAAACAUGUGGGAACGCGGAAAACGUCUGAACUCGAGCAGAGGCAACUUUUCAUGCAGUUUUUUGACAGGAUAGUUUAGACUGGGAACUGAGAGUUGUCUUUAAAGGGCGACGUGAACUUGGAUAGAAGUCCUGGUUUAUCAUCAAAGGCCGUCACGCAGAUGAACAAUUGGAAAAGCCCUGACAGCUCAACUUUAAUGUCUUCAAUAUUCAAUAUUUUGCACAGAGCAUGGGGAUCAAUACACUGGCAAAAAUGCAGUAUGUUUCUAAUACUGGUGUCACUGCAGUAACACAAAUAAUGUAAAUAAUAUUCUUUAAAAUUCAAGUUUAACCUUUAUACUCAGAUAAAUGAGUGAUAGUUUCCAUGGUUUUGUGUGCAGCUCUGUUAAGUUUCCCUCUCAAAGUACCUGUAAGUGUGUGUAAAUGAAUCCCCUCCCUGUGUGAAUCACCGUUGGCACAUGCAGUCAUAUUCCAUCGCUCUCAGCCAUGUACCUGAACAACAGUUGAGAGGAUAAACAUCAGGCUUUUGUUUUGUUUGGAGUUUUCAGACAUUAUUUCAAACAGCUUGAAACCAUGAUAAAAAAAACAACCUUGUAACAAUAAGGCUUUUGACUUUUCUCCCUUCGCCUUCUUGAUUGCCUUUUAACAGCUGCCUGGUUUUGGAGCAACUACAGUCGGAAGAAAAGAAGAAAAAAAAAAAAGGCCUCCAGAAAGAGCAAUUAUGGUUUUAUUUACAAUGCCCCGUUCCUACAACUUUCCGUUUCUCCAUCUGUCUUUUUUUCUCUCUGCACUUUGUGAUCAUCGAUCAGAUUAGAGGAGAGCUUGCCCGCGUGAUUCAUCUCGCAAAAAACCUUCAUUGACUAAAGGAACAGCCUGCAGAAUCCACCUUUGAAGUGGUGAGAGUGAAAAAGCUGUUGCCCAACAACAAACAAAGGGCACAUUGUCUGAACCCGGCAGCUGACAUGCAAAGCAGUGGAGCAUUCACAGAAUGCAAAACAUGCUCACGCGAACAAUGGAGCCACUGAUCUGCUCAUGUAAACUGUGCAUACGACGGAUACAUUUCAGUACUGAAUCAUCUCGCAACUAUUUUGUCUGCAGGUCAAAUUGGUGACAAAAAAUGCCCAAACACAUGCUGCGGACAUUUUAAGCAUGUAUUCAUUUCAAUACCAGGUUGGGACCUAUCUCAUAAUGGAACAAUAAAGAGUUUACUGGAAAUAUA